UGAGGAAUCUUGCAUAAUGGGCGAAAGCCUGAUGCAGCAACGCCGCGUGUGCGAUGAAGGCCUUCGGGUUGUAAAGCACUUUUGAUCGGGAAGAGGAAGGACGGUACCGGUCGAAUAAGCCUCGGCUAACUACGUGCCAGCAGCCGCGGUAAAACGUAGGAGGCGAGCGUUAUCCGGAUUUACUGGGUGUAAAGCGCGUGCAGGCGGUCUACUAAGUUGGAUGUGAAAGCUCCUGGCUCAACUAGGAGAGGUCGUUCAAGACUGGUAGACUGGAGAGCAGUAGAGGAAGGUGGAAUUCCGGGUGUAGUGGUGAAAUGCGUAGAUAUCCGGAGGAACACCAGUGGCGAAAGCGGCCUUCUGGACUGCAUCUGACGCUCAGACGCGAAAGCUAGGGGAGCGAACGGGAUUAGAGACCCCGGUAGUCCUAGCUGUAAACGAUGUGAACUUGGCGCUGGUUGGGUAAAACCGAUCCGUGCCGGAGCAAACGCGAUAAGUU
rnacentral:rRNA from 1 species